UUGGUUUCCGUGACUAUCACUUCCAUAA
rnacentral:sRNA from 1 species